GACGAACGCUGGCGGCGUGCUUAACACAUGCAAGUCGAACGCUGAAGCUCAGCUUUUGUUGGGUGGAUGAGUGGCGAACGGGUGAGUAACACGUGAGUAACCUGCCCCCUUCUUUGGGAUAACGCCCGGAAACGGGUGCUAAUACUGGAUAUUCACUGGUCUUCGCAUGGGGGUUGGUGGAAAGGGUUUUUCUGGUGGGGGAUGGGCUCGCGGCCUAUCAGCUUGUUGGUGGGGUGAUGGCCUACCAAGGCUUUGACGGGUAGCCGGCCUGAGAGGGUGACCGGUCACAUUGGGACGGAGAUACGGCCCAGACUCCUACGGGAGGCAGCAGUGGGGAAUAUUGCACAAUGGGCGCAAGCCUGAUGCAGCGACGCCGCGGGAGGGAUGGAGGCCUUCGGGUUGUGAACCUCUUUCGCUCAUGGUCAAGCCGCAACAAUGGUUGUGGUGAGGGUAGUGGGUAAAGAAGCGCCGGCUAACUACGUG
rnacentral:rRNA from 1 species